UACGGAGGGGGCGAGCGUUAUUCGGAAUUAUUGGGCGUAAAGGGCGCGUAGGCGGCUGAACAAGUCAAAGGUGAAAUCCCUCGGCUCAACUGAGGAACUGCCUUUGAAACUGUUCGGCUUGAGGCCGGGAGGGGGUAGCGGAAUUCCCAGUGUAGCGGUGAAAUGCGUAGAUAUUGGGAGGAACACCAGUGGCGAAGGCGGCUACCUGGACCGGUUCUGACGCUGAGGCGCGAAAGCUAGGGGAGCAAACAGG
rnacentral:rRNA from 1 species